rnacentral:rRNA from 1 species
CAGUAGCCACGGUAAUACAGAGAGUGCGAGCGUUAAUCGGAUUUACUGGGCGUAAAGCGUGCGUAGGCGGCUUUUUAAGUCGGAUGUGAAAUCCCUGAGCUUAACUUAGGAAUUGCAUUCGAUACUGGGAAGCUAGAGUAUGGGAGAGGAUGGUAGAAUUCCAGGUGUAGCGGUGAAAUGCGUAGAGAUCUGGAGGAAUACCGAUGGCGAAGGCAGCCAUCUGGCCUAAUACUGACGCUGAGGUACGAAAGCAUGGGGAGCAAACAGGAUUAGAUACCCGUGUAGUCCCUGUCUCUUAUAC